rnacentral:rRNA from 1 species
UACAGAGGGGGCAAGCGUUGUUCGGAAUUACUGGGCGUAAAGGGUGCGCAGGCGGUUCUGCAAGUCAGGCGUGAAAUCCCCGGGCUUAACCUGGGAAUGGCGCUUGAAACUACGGGACUGGAGUAUGGCAGAGGGAGGUGGAAUUCCACGUGUAGCGGUGAAAUGCGUAGAGAUGUGGAGGAACACCGAUGGCGAAGGCAGCCUCCUGGGCCAAUACUGACGCUCAUGCACGAAAGCGUGGGGAGCAAACAGG